GGGGCCGUAGCCCAAAGGCAGAGGCGCACGGUUUAGGUCCGUGACAGUGGGGGUUCGACUCCCCCCGGCCCUA
rnacentral:tRNA from 1 species